rnacentral:lncRNA from 1 species
UAAGAAGGAGAUUAGGUUAUGUUUUAUCAACAAACUGAACAGUCAGGUUAAGAUGUAACAAAGUACAGUAGAUACAAAAUUAUUUAUAACUUGGUAGGUUUAUUCUUAUAAAUAAGCCCUUCUUUAGCAGAAGACUUAUCAAACACAAAGACAUAAUAUUGAUGAAUUCGUUUAAAACAGAAAGUUGAAACGAUUAAUAGUAUGAUUAGGCUAUUCAUCACCGUACCAGAGAAUAACAGGCUGAUUGAGCUAUGGAUGAAACUUUCUGCUGGGUCUAUCUUGCUAGUUUAUUGCUGGUGAUCACCGUAUCAAUUAUCAGGCACGAAAAUAUGUCACAAAGACCGCAGGGACAGUUCAUCGUGUGUGUUGUUCCUCAUUCUGCAAAGACAGUAGUGAACAUGUUAUCCUAUAGUUUGACACCGUACACAUCGUUUUACCAUUACCAUUACCAUUACCAAGUGUGUUCUUUCAUGAAUAAUAAUGUAUUUAUGUAGAUUAACAAUUUAUUGUUACUUUCGCAAUUUUUCAUGUUUUGAAAAAAAAUUAAAAAGUAUUAUAUACGGUACUUCAUUGGAUAAUUAUUUUAUAUUAUGUCAUUCUAUCAAUAUUUUGCAGUUGCAGAAAUUUCACAACCAUUUAUUUUAAUUUAUUUGAAAUAAGUAGGUAGUUGUGAUAAUUUCUAGUAUUUUUAUUUGAUAUGAAUAUCAUCUACCACAAUAUCACCUCCACUACUACACACAAAAUUUCAUCUGUCUCUGUCUUCUUGCGUUUUGAGAUGCAAAUAAUUUGAUCAGUCUGGUGGCACGUAGCCAGGAUUUGAUUUCGGGUGGGGCGAAUGAGAUUUGAUUGCCGUGGAGAUUCAACAAAAAAAUCAACUUACACCUAAAAUUAGCAUUUUCUGCGUAUUCUAAACUUUUUGGAGAACAGAUAAACAGCAAAUUUUCGAAUUUGGUUGAGAAGUUCAGCUGAGGUGUAGAAAUAUUGUAUUAAAAGGGUUUUGAACUAAUGCCAAUGAUACGACCCAAAAAAGGCGGGUUUCAGCGUUUUUCAUGAGUUAUCAAGCAUUUUUCUGCGUUUCCUCAGCAUUCUGCAUUUUCCAUUUGGCUUGCACUUCCUUCGAUCCAAGGUCAAAAGAGUCUUUCAGGCUUGAUUCAAUCUCCGGUUGAUUUCAAUUAUGUAUCUAAUCCUAUCAAUUAAAAAUAUUUAUUUGAGAAAUUUAGAGAAAUGCAUUGCAAACUCAAUGAAAAACUGUGGGAAACAAACUCUUUAAUUAAGCAACGUCUGAACUUAGCUAAGCUGAACCUGUGUAUAGAGUUUCGAGUUUACUUUUUCAAGUCCUGUUGUUCUUGAAAAAAUCACUUCAAAGCAAAGAAUAUAAUAUGAGAUGGACCUCUGUACCUAUUUUGAACGUUCUCAGUCAAUUUGGUCUCGGCAAAGCUGAUAAAAUACAGAAAAACACUUCUAUAUGGAUCAUUACACUUAUUCCCAAGUCCUUAUACAAUUUAUUUCCACUGCAGAUAAACCUAAAUUUGGACAUUCUAUAUCGAUUAUGAAAAAAAAUGAGAAAACCUUUGAUGGUUGAUGAAAACCCAUCUUUCAAAACAUUUGAAAGAUGAAAACCCAUGCUAAAAAACGCUGGAAAAUUGCGUUUUUGGGCGUAUCUUUGACGAAAUAUCUAUGUCCUUCCUAAAUAAAAAUCACAAAAUUCCUAGAUCCUACCUAAACCUCUGCACCAAGUUUGAAUGUUUUCUGUCAGUCUUUUCUCGAAAAAGCAUAAAAACACAGAUUUUGACGGAUGUUUUGCGUUAUUUUAAAGCUAUUUCAAUACAAUAUUUGUAUUUGAACAGAUAAACCUGACCCGGACACCCCCCAUCAUGGGGUCUGCGGGGGUGUAUGCUAC